GGGGACAUAGUUUAAUGACAGAGCAUCUGUUUUCCAUGCAGAAGGUCCCAAGUUGAAUCCUUGGCAUCUCUA